UAAUAUUACCUGUUUUCUUAUUAGUUAUAUUUAUAGUAAUUGUGUGGCUCUAAUGUGAAUAUCGUCUUGGCGAUUCAUCACAAAAGUAAUCCCUGAGAACGAGGAGGAACUAUUUGCCAAACAAUCAUCAAUAAUUAUCUAAUGUGCAUAUUUUUCAUCUGAUGCCCGUGUAGAUGUAGUGAUCAGAAGAUCACAAAAUCUUUGCUUUUAUGAAUUUUAUAUGGCCCAUUUACCGUGUUACUUAAAAUGCUUGAGAAGAUUAAUGAUGAACGUUGGCAGGGCCUGCACGACCUUCGCAAACAAGAUACAAUUGGUCUUGCUUUUAAAAGGAUGCAACCACCAUGUUGAACACAUAAAGCUUCCUUCGCUAUCCAAAUCAACUUCAAGACACUGUAACAUGGCACGAGGAUCACAUGCUUAGAUAGCAAACCGCUUCAAAUUUCCACAUCUAUGCUUCUUAGUGGAUUAACCGUCCUGGCCACUGGCAUAAUCCACAGCCGUCCAAUAAAAGGAUGUAGGGUCACUAGUAGAAAACAACUUCAAUACUUUGCUUUCUAUUCCCUCCG
rnacentral:lncRNA from 1 species